AGAGUUCGAUCCUGGCUCAGGAUGAACGCUGGCGGCGCGCCUAACACAUGCAAGUCGAACGGCACCUGCCUUCGGGCAGAAGCGAGUGGCGAACGGCUGAGUAACACGUGGAGAACCUGCCCCCUCCCCCGGGAUAGCCGCCCGAAAGGACGGGUAAUACCGGAUACCCCGGGGUGCCGCAUGGCACCCCGGCUAAAGCCCCGACGGGAGGGGAUGGCUCCGCGGCCCAUCAGGUAGACGGCGGGGUGACGGCCCACCGUGCCGACAACGGGUAGCCGGGUUGAGAGACCGACCGGCCAGAUUGGGACUGAGACACGGCCCAGACUCCUACGGGAGGCAGCAGUGGGGAAUCUUGCGCAAUGGGGGGAACCCUGACGCAGCGACGCCGCGUGCGGGACGGAGGCCUUCGGGUCGUAAACCGCUUUCAGCAGGGAAGAGUCAAGACUGUACCUGCAGAAGAAGCCCCGGCUAACUACGUGCCAGCAGCCGCGGUAAUACGUAGGGGGCGAGCGUUAUCCGGAUUCAUUGGGCGUAAAGCGCGCGUAGGCGGCCCGGCAGGCCGGGGGUCGAAGCGGGGGGCUCAACCCCCCGAAGCCCCCGGAACCUCCGCGGCUUGGGUCCGGUAGGGGAGGGUGGAACACCCGGUGUAGCGGUGGAAUGCGCAGAUAUCGGGUGGAACACCGGUGGCGAAGGCGGCCCUCUGGGCCGAGACCGACGCUGAGGCGCGAAAGCUGGGGGAGCGAACAGGAUUAGAUACCCUGGUAGUCCCAGCCGUAAACGAUGGACGCUAGGUGUGGGGGGACCAUCCCCCCGUGCCGCAGCCAACGCAUUAAGCGUCCCGCCUGGGGAGUACGGCCGCAAGGCUAAAACUCAAAGGAAUUGACGGGGGCCC
rnacentral:rRNA from 1 species